rnacentral:lncRNA from 1 species
AUUUUUUGUCAAACUUUGUUUGACCAUGUUGAACUUGGGAUAAUUUACUUGGACUUUUCAAAGUUGAUUUGAAGUGAGUUUGAAGUUUGACCUUUCUUUAUUAUUUUAAUUCAAGUUUUAUUUUAAUAUUAAAAAAUACCAAAAAUAUUUUAUUUGUUUCUUGACUUCUUAUCUUCAUCUUGCUUCUGUUUUCUAUUGUUUGACCUUGAUCUUUUUUUUU